GUCCUACGGGGCGCAGCAGUGGGGGAUAUUGCACAAUGGGGGAAACCCUGAUGCAGCGACGCCGCGUGUGGGAAGACGGUCCUCUGGAUUGUAAACCACUGUCCCCAGGGACGAAGAUGACGGUACCUGGGGAGGAAGCUCCGGCUAACUACGUGCCAGCAGCCGCGGUAGUACGUAGGGAGCAAGCGUUGUCCGGAAUUACUGGGUGUAAAGGGAGCGUAGGCGGGAUGGCAAGUCUGGUGUUAAAUCUACCGGCUCAACUGGUAGUCGCACUCGAAACUGCUAUUCUUUGGUG
rnacentral:rRNA from 1 species